GGUCCCUUAGCUCAGCGGAUGAGAGCAAAUUCCUUCUAAGAAUUAGGUCCUAGGUUCGAAUCCUAGAGGGACCACCA
rnacentral:tRNA from 1 species